UUGGAGGGCAAGUCUGGUGCCAGCAGCCGCGGUAAUUCCAGCUCCAAUAGCGUAUAUUAAAGUUGUUGCAGUUAAAAAGCUCGUAGUUGAAUUUCGGGAUCAGUACGCUGGUCAUGCCUUUGGUAUGCACUGGUGUCACUGGUUUCUCCCUUCUGAAGAACCGUGAUGUCAUUAAUUUGGUGUCGCGGGGAAUCAGGACUGUUACUUUGAAAAAAUUAGAGUGUUUAAAGCAGGCUCACGCUUGAAUACAUUAGCAUGGAAUAAUGAAAUAGGACGUUUGACCCUAUUUUGUUGGUUUCUAGGAUCGACGUAAUGAUUAAUAGGGAUAGUUGGGGGCAUUAGUAUUCAAUUGUCAGAGGUGAAAUUCUUGGAUUUAUUGAAGACUAACUACUGCGAAAGCAUUUGCCAAGGAUGUUUUCAUUAAUCAAGAACGAAAGUUAGGGGAUCGAAGACGAUCAGAUACCGUCGUAGUCUUAACCAUAAACUAUGCCGACUAGGGAUCGGAUGAUGUUAAUUUUAUAAUGACUCAUUCGGCGCCUUACGGGAAACA
rnacentral:rRNA from 1 species